rnacentral:rRNA from 1 species
AUCGAACGCUGGCGGCAGGCUUAACACAUGCAAGUCGAGCGGAGAUGAGGUGCUUGCACCUUAUCUUAGCGGCGGACGGGUGAGUAAUGCUUAGGAAUCUGCCUAUUAGUGGGGGACAACAUUCCGAAAGGGAUGCUAAUACCGCAUACGUCCUACGGGAGAAAGCAGGGGAUCUUCGGACCUUGCGCUAAUAGAUGAGCCUAAGUCGGAUUAGCUAGUUGGUGGGGUAAAGGCCUACCAAGGCGACGAUCUGUAGCGGGUCUGAGAGGAUGAUCCGCCACACUGGGACUGCGACACGGCCCAGACUCCUACGGGAGGCAGCAGUGGGGAAUAUUGGACAAUGGGGGGAACCCUGAUCCAGCCAUGCCGCGUGUGUGAAGAAGGCCUUAUGGUUGUAAAGCACUUUAAGCGAGGAGGAGGCUACUGAGACUAAUACUCUUGGAUAGUGGACGUUACUCGCAGAAUAAGCACCGGCUAACUCUGUGCCAGCCGCCGCCGCAGUA